rnacentral:rRNA from 1 species
UGUGAGGACCUUUCCCUAGUACGAGAGGAUCUGGAAGGAUGCACCUCUAGUGUAUCAGGUAUCGUGCUCAUGGUAAAUGCUGGUUGGUCAAGUGCGGUGUGGAUAACUGCUGAAAGCAUUUAAGUAGUAAGCCUACCCCAAGAUGA